ensembl:lncRNA
CAGCUUUCUUAUGCAACUGUGAUGAAGAGGCAAUCCCAUGGUGAAAGUGCACACAGCUCAUUCCUGCAAGACUUUGCACUGUUCACAGCUCCUCCUGAACCCUGCACCCUAAGAUCCAAGCAGAAAAUAAUGAGCAAAAUAUUAGCAAAAUCCGUGGGUCUAGACAUAUCUUAAUUACCAGUUUGGACUCCAUUCUGACUGAAGAGAUGAAGUGAACAUUGGCUUUAAGUUUUCAAGUACACCCAGCUAAGCUACGCCUUCCAAACAUCAUACAUAAGGCAGGGAGUAUCCUGUUCAGUGUCAGAACAGAUGGCAGAAAGCUUGGAGGAAUUACUGCUUUGCAGGCAGGACAAAAGAACGAGAGCCCAAAUGCAGCCAGCCAGCUGAGAGCACACUGCUGCUCCUGCAAAGCUCUUCAAGGAGAAAUGCUGACACAGCCAUUUCCGGCACUAUUUGCUGCUGCAAGGAAUACUUAAGAGCAGUAUAGAACAUGGGCAACCAGAGGCUGUCUCAUAUUCGGGACCACCAGCUGGCUUGGUUUGCAAGUGGAGACACCAGGAAUGGGUUGUAGUGGGAUGCUCUCGGCGUUGAUCCAGGGAGGACUUUCUGGUCCGAUGAGCCUGGACAUUGAAGUCCUCUGACAGAGAGCCAGAGAUACUUCAGGAGAAGAGAGGGCUUAUCUGGAGAAGAGGAGGCUCAGGGGAGACCUUUUAUCUCUCUACACUACAGCUACCUGAAAGAAGGUUGUGGUGAGGUGAGGGCCAGCCUCUUCUCCCAUGGAACUAGCGAUAGGAUGAGGGGAAAUGGCCUCCAGUUGCACCAGGGGAGGUUCAGUUUGGGAGUUAGGAAACAUUUCUUCUCCAAAAGAGUGGUCAGGCACUGGAAUGGGCUGCCCAAGGAGGUGGUUGAGUCACCGUCCCUGAAGGUGUUCAAGAAACAUCUAGAUGUUGUACUGAGAGACAUGGUUUAGUGGGGAAAUAAUGGCGGUAUGUUGAACUCGAUGGUCUUGGAGGUCUUUUCCAACCUUGGUGAUUCUAUGAUUCAACUUUGCUCUGAGGUGCUCUGUCAGCAGAGCCUUCCUGCCUGUCCUCCAAUGAGUUUGGAGAGAGAGAAGUAUUUACACACUUCUGGAGAAGAAAACUGGAGAGAGAAGUCCGAUGGGGAUAGUGAGGUGGAGACAGACCGAAGAAGUUUUGAGCACAGUCAGGUUUGGCUUUAGAAGGCAAAAGACCCCAGUUCAACAUUCUCCAUUCUGCAUCCAAAGAGGAAAGGAAAACCAUCUUCAUGUGCAGGAGAACAUGAACGCCACAUCACUGGAUUGGAAUAAAUACCAACAUAAACUCUGUGGUGAUCUCAAACCUCACAUGGUCCCUUUUCUCUCUUAUUCCACCAACUCACCAUAAAUGCUGUGUUUUAUUAAGGUUGUAGCUUCACCUGGGGAGGAAGUAUCUAGGGUUUGAAACCCACUAAGAGAUGUAGAGGAUCAGUGUUGGUGAGUUUAUCCCUGUCUGCAGAGAGGAUGAAAUGUCUAAACUGAGACAGGUAAGAACUGGAAUCUGAUGGAAGACAGGGAAGAGAGGAGAACAAGAAAACUGGAAAAAGGAGAGAACUUCUAACCUACAAUCACACUGUCCGUGCUGGUUGAAAUCCAGGUAUAAACACACCCGUUUCCUUAUGUUUUACUUUUCAGAACAUGUCUUGAAGACAGAAACAGGGGUUAGAAGAGCAGAUUUUACUCCUGUGAUUAAGAUUUGCACCAUUUGACUUUGGGUUGUAAAGAAAAAGAAGAAAAAAUAAAACAAGGGAAAAAAAAAAGAGUAAUGCUUUACUAAUUAAGGCACAAUUGAAAGUGAUUGGUGUGCACUGGCAAGCUGCUCCUCUCAGAAAGAGCUGGACUGACAUCUCUACAAUCACUCAGUGAGUAAGCACUGCGAAAACACUGUUUGGCCUGGAAGGAGCUAAUAAGUGCAUAGAUAAAAUCUUAUUUUGAAAGCAACAACAAAGGGCAUGUGAUUUAUAUCUUAGUUGGUGACUUCAUAUGUUUUGCAGAGUUUCUCCAAAAUAUAUCGGAAUUCAUAAUUCAUUUUUAUAACGCCUUACAUUAAAAUAAUAAAUGUCAGGAAGUUUUUCAAGAGACUGAAAAUUCUGUAAGCAGUGCUGAGUGAUCAAAGGAGGAUUUUGACAGGGAGAGACUCCCGUUGACUUGGGGCUUUGGAUCAGACCUGACGCUGGCAACAAAAUGGACAACAGUUAAUAAAAGUGUGCCUGUUAGAACUUGGAUAAGUUAGAGCAGCUAAUUGCAGCAUCUCAACACAAGUUGGGGGAAGAUGCAUGCUGGCUGGAUCCUCACCGCUGCACGUGAUGGGAUGCUGUUGCUCGUCUACAUGGCAACAACCACGGAUGAGCCAAGACAAAGGAAGUGAUAGAGGAGGUGGAGGAGAGAGCAGGGAUUAGAGAGCUGGAGGAAAAACAACUUUCAGGGGGAGAAACCAUUCCAAAACCUACAUUUAUGCAAGGAAAAGGACUGCUGAGUUAAAAGUAGUAUAUCAUUUCUGGACUUUUUCAUUUCCUACAUGUUGGAGGAGUUAUCUCUGUGUGUUUCCAUUCUUUUUCUUAAUGGAGGCAUAUAUGACGUGUUUCUCACUCAUUGUAGUAUUUCAUGUUUUCAUGAGUGUUAACAAAAGCAUGGGACAAAGCCAAAGAGGUAACUACCCACCAUACCCUAGUGCAGCUGUUUCACGUUUAUAAAACUCAUGUAUCACCAUGCAGAAUUGGUCAGUGUUUUGCCUGUCUGUACCUGCAGGGAUGUAUUUUGCUGCAAAAUGCCAUUCAGGUUUGUGGACCACAAAAUGGAGAUGGAGAUCCCACAACUUCAGUUGUAGAGCAACCAGAACUCAUUCUCUCCUCACACAUCUAGAGCUCCACUCCCAGCCAUCCUAGUGGCCUUGCUGGGCUUUUUUCUAACCAUGCUGGUGGCCUUGCUGGGUGUUUUCCUAGCUCCUGGUACUAGGGAGCUCAAGUCCAGUGCCCAGAUGUGAUCUCAGGGUCUGAGUAGAGGGGAAGAAUUAUAUCCCCUAGCUUGCUAGCUGCCCCUUUGCACAUUCACCUCUGGAUGUGAUCAUCCUGUGCUGCAAGUGUGGAGACAUAGUAGUGAGGACCUCAUAGUCUACCAAGAUGCCCCUGGUCUAUCCAGAUGGUCCCAGCUUGUGCUGCCACAUGGGUUAUUCCUCCUCAUAUACUGAACUCUACAUUUCUCUGCGGUGAACUUCUUGAGAUUCCUGCUAAUCCUUCUCUCCACCUCAUUUCUUCGAAUAGCAUUGCUCCUCUGCACUGCAUCAAUCACUCCUUGUUUGUGUGUCCUCUGCAGACUUGCUGAGAGGGCAGCCUGUUCACUGCCUAAGGGCUGCUUGAGCUGCCAGGUAGCUCCACAAUGACAUCCUUUGGAAAUGUGCACCACCUCCGACUUGAUCAGCUGGGCUGUACAACCUUAAUGGUAUAGAAGAUUCCAUGCAGUUUCAAGUCGUCAUCCAACUUUUAGAUGCAAGAUCUAAAGGCCCAUGUGGUACUUUAAUAUCUUGAUGAUUUACAGCUGGGAUUGAGACUUUGUCCAAACUUUCACUCCAUUUGUAUAAACCUUUCAUGCUGAUUGAGAACUCUGCAAAUGAAGUCUCUGACUUUUAUUUACACUUUAUGAAAAUUGAGUUGUUCUCAAGUGACCCUACAUCUCACCUCAGAGUGGUGAAAAUUCACAGCCACGGAGCGUGGAUUCAUGCAGACUGAGGGCUCAGUUUGUAGAUCUGAAUCUACAGAUAUUCAAAGAGAUUUUUCCCAGGGGAAAACAGUCAAAUGUGGAUGAUAAAAGUGAGUGAGUAAUGUACUGAGAGCAUAUCUUCUUACUGCAUUUGCUCGGAGUGUCUGUUUAUGAUGAAUGUAAAGCAGACCCAACAGCAGAGUUCAGUUAGGGGUGUGCGUUUAUGUGCUGGGAUUUUAUGUCUAACAUGGCCUGUUAGGCUUUUUGAAAAGGAAAAACAUAAAACCUUGCCUGUUUUCUUAAAAAAAUGCAUUACUGUACUGCUCUUCGUGUUUUAAAGUAGUGAUAAAAAAAAAAGAAAGAAAGAAAGAAAGAAGUUGUUUAUAUUAUUUGUAUUACCUUAAGCCCCAGGAAGAACAGACACAACUCCAUUUGCAAGCAAAUAUAGCUUGUGUUGGAUUGAAUAGCCCAAGAAGGUGUCAUUAUUCGUUUCUCAGAAUGCAUCAGCUUAAUGUCUUGCUGAGGUUCACAUACAAACCCUACAGCAAAGCUGGACCUGCGAGCAGAACAGCUCCUGCCAAGAAAACAAAGACCGUAUCAGCUGGAUGGUAGGUGCCUGUGAUGUGUGAGGGAUAAGCAGAGAGCUGUGGAAAGAUUUCUGAGAAGGAACCACAUCAGUGUGCUGGGCCAGCGCUCCCUUGGUGCCUGAAACCUCCAGCUGCUGAUGUUCUGGAGUGAGAAAAUGGGCAGAGAGAUUAUUUUUGAAUUUUUGAGGGCUGGCUUUGCAUCUUGGCCCAUCUUUUUCUGGAAACGGUUAGUAGUUGUAACUGACUCCCAGAUGUGUGGCUAAAAUAAUUUGCUUUUAUUAAUAUUCAGAUAUGAGAAUCCAGAAAUAAAGUGGGGAAAGAUGUUAAGGGCAGACUAUUGCAAGUUUUCUUGCCUUUUGCCUUGAAAAUGCUUGUGCAGGCCCUAGCUGGAGGCAGGUUCCAGGAUGUAGAAUCACAGAGUCAUUAAGAUUGCAAAAAUAGAUCACCAACUCCAACUGCUGACCCAUCCCCACCAUGCUCACUAAACCAGCCCCUCAGAACAUCUCCAUGGUUCUUGAGCCCUUCCUGGGAUGGCGACUCCACCACUUCCCUGAGCUGCCUGUUCCAAUGCAUUGCCAUGAACGCCAUUUUGGGUUGGGACGGUGCUUCUUAACUUUGCCUGGGCUCAAGCCUGCACUACUGGCCUGUGAACAUCUCAUCAGUUUUACUACUUCUCUCCACUGCCUUGCAAGAGUGGACAGUGCCAUAUAUCCUUUUGACUUGGUCUAGAGGGAGGUGUCCCUGCCCAUAGCAGGAAGGUUGGAACUAGAUGGUCUUAAAGAUCCCUUCCAAGCCAAACCAUUCUAUGAUUCUGACUGUGUGACAGGAGACAGAGAGGCUACAAUCACACUACAGUGACCAACUCACUGUGAUGAUUUAGAGAAACUGGUAGAGCUCCUGAAUUGCAGACUGAUUUUAUGAAAGCUCGCCAAAGUUUGCAUUUCAUGUCUCAUGGAAGCACUCCAAAGAGUGCAGAAUGGGAGCUCCAGGUGAGCUCAUGUGUCCUGGGCAGUGUGAAAGAGCAACGCUCUCCCUGGUGGACUGCACUACAGCACAUGAUCCCUUCCAGAUGAGGCAAAAUCUCCUUUGCAACAUGACAGAAAGAGCCAGCACCACAGAGGGCAUGGAGGAAGCUUCAGGGCAUACAGAUCUGAGAUGGCAGAACCAAAUAUGUCUUUCAAGGUAGCACAAAAGCCAAAGGGGAGCCUUUCUCAGCUCAGACCCUCCAUACAUUCUCAUCCAAACUGCUAAGCUUUGCUAGGGGAGGUUGCAUUUCACCAGUGGAUGGGGUGGUUUCUCUAUGUCAUUUCACUUGCUGAAGACUCUUCUGACUUAGGUCUGUGAGCUGGUAUUAUUAUUAUUAUUAUUAAUAAUAAUUUAUCGCAUAGUUCCCC